GAUGAACGCUGGCGGCGUGCUUAACACAUGCAAGUCGAACGAUGAAGCCCAGCUUGCUGGUUGGUUUAGUGGCGAACGGGUGAGUAACACGUGAGUAACCUGCCCUUAACUCUGGGAUAAGCCUGGGAAACUGGGUCUAAUACCGGAUAGGAGCGUCCACCGCAGGGUGGGUGUUGGGAAGAUUAAUCGGUAUUGGAUGGCCUGGCGGCCUAUCAGCUUUGUGGUGAGGUAAUGGUUCACCAACGCGACGACGGGUAGCCGGCCUGAGAGGGUGAACAGCCACACUGGGACUGAGAGACGGCGCAGACUCCUACGGGAGGCAGCAGUGGGGAAUAUUGCACAGUGGGCGCAAGCCUGAUGCAGAGACGCCGCGUGAGGGAUGACGGCCUUCGGGUUGUAAACCUCUUUCAGUAGGGAAGAAGCGAAAGUGACGGUACCUGCAGAAGAAGCACCGGCUAACUACGUG
rnacentral:rRNA from 1 species